GACUGGUUAGCUCAGUUGGUUAGAGUGUGGUACUAAUAAUGCCAAGGUCAUGGGUUCGAUCCCCAUAUGGGCCA
rnacentral:tRNA from 2 species